UCGUGUCGUGAGAUGUUCGGUUAAGUCCGGCAACGAGCGCAACCCACGUCCUUAGUUGCCAGCAGUUCGGCUGGGCACUCUAGGGAAACUGCCGGUGAUAAGCCGGAGGAAGGUGUGGAUGACGUCAAGUCCUCAUGGCCCUUACGGGUUGGGCUACACACGUGCUACAAUGGCAUCUACAGUGAGUUAAUCUCCAAAAGAUGUCUCAGUUCGGAUUGGGGUCUGCAACUCGACCCCAUGAAGUCGGAAUCGCUAGUAAUCGCGUAACAGCAUGACGCGGUGAAUACGUUCCCGGGCCUU
rnacentral:rRNA from 1 species